GAAACCUAGAUUCACCAUGAGUCAUCAAGGGACUCAAAGACAGACUUAUCUGGAGAAAAAGAGAAUAAAGCUGAACAUGCAGCCUCCAGCCCCAAAGAAAGAGUGAGAGAGAACAGGAGAAUAGAAUCUUAUUAGAAGCCAGAUGUAUUUCGAGCAACUGGGUUCCUUGAAAUUUCUCUGGUUCAUAAGUGCUUCACAGACAUAAUGGGCUAGUAAAUUAGGUCCUUAUUUUGGAACAAACUGAGAGAUAUAUUUGGAAGCAUGACAGAGAUCAAGCUGUCAGCUUUAAUUGGGGACAAAAGCUAAGUUGGAGAAGGGCAAACUGCUAAUAAUUCACCCCAGAUUUGUCAGAUUUACCUACCCAGUCACAAGCCCAGUAAUAAUCACAGCAUAGAUGCAAAGAUAGAUAAUGCAUCUCUCUGCAGUCAGGCCAAUUUCAAAGUCUCCUCCAAGAUAUUCUUAUUUAACUAGUCUACUUGUCACCUGGACAUCAGGAUUUUUGAAAACUUCUCAAGUGUUUCUAUUUUGCAGCCUGUCAUGAGAAUAUCCUCUCUAGGGAAGACUUAAUAGAGAUAGAAGUAGCCAUCAUGAAUCCUUCAAGCCUUUUGCACUCUUACCUAUUGGAUUUGAACAUCUUACGUAGGGUCCAUCUUGGGUUAUGAUUGUCCCUCUCAGUGCUUUUGGAGGUUAUAUUUGUCACUUCUUAAACUAAAGGAAAAGACCCACUUUUCAUAUAAAGUUGUAAGUAGUAAAUAUGUUCCUUUGAAACGAGAGAAAGAUGCCCUUGCCUGUGAAAACGCUGCCCUACUUUUGCAGAGGUAGCUGUAUCACAUAGUGAAUGUGGCAACUGAUAUGGCCAUCACUGUGAAGAGCUGGGUACACACACCAGCCUCAGGACACCCCCUGCAGUCCUAACUUGGGAAUGUAAAACUCAGCUAUUUCAAGUAAACCAUUUCUGCUUCAUUCACAUAAGAACAUUUCCUUCACAAAAGUCGUAUGGACAAGACAAAAUAAAAACUUACCUAAGGAAAAAAAAAAAAAUGUCUUUGGUUAAUUACUGUGCUAAGCUACUUUCUGCAGAGGUUAAGUACUGCAGACAUUAGGAUCAGGAAAAACCAAGAAACAAACAACUGCGAGUAAAUUUUUCUCUAGGAGACAAGGAAAGGGAUUUGUUCAGCUCCUGAGAGAUAAAUGUAUGAAGACAAAGACAGAACAGCAAGAAAGUCAGAAGAACCAGAGCGAUGGUGUGUAACAGGAGGCUUUUAAGAAGCAUCCAAUAGCAACUGUCUCCUUUCUAGUUAUUUCUGUUACUUCAACCUUACCUCCCCCAAAUCCAGCACCUCAUUAUGAUAUCCUUCCCAAUCAAUCUUCUAUGGAACUA